CCGCGCCGUGCCCGGCCGGCGCCCGGCGCAGCGCCCGCCCCCUGGCACCGCUCCCCGUCGGCCAGGGACGGCGCAGAGAGGCAAGGGCGCGGAGCCUCUCUCACACGGGCGGGAUCACGCACACGUCCGGCAGCUCCGCAGCCGAGAAAAGCGCGGCGGGGACCGCAGCCCGACGGGUCUCCGCCCGGAAGGGAGGGUGAUUGGGGCUGCGGCACCCCCAGAGCACAGGGACACGGACGCGGACAGGAGCAGGGCGAGGCGCUGCCGUCGCAUUCCAGCGGGUCUACUUUGCUUCCCCUCGCUCCCUCCGCCGUCUGCGAGGCGGAGGAACACUGGCGCGUGAAACCGAGUAACACUAGCGCGUGAGGCCGGGACUACUUUAUGCCCUAGAGCUGCGGCGGCGCUGGAGCGGCGGCACAACGAACGCUGGGCCGGGAAGGGGCCGGAGCGGCUGGGAGAGGGGGGGAAAGCAGUGUGGAAAAAUGAAGUUAUGACUAGUACCCCGCGUGUAGACCGAAGAGCAGUGAUCUUGGCCUUUCCCGAAGCAGAGGCAGCAGGCGUCCCUUAUCAGCAGGAAUUGGCUGCUUGGCUGAUGUAAUGACAGAAUGCAAGAAUUCACACAGCAAGCAGAGAAUAGGGAGAAGGGCUGAGGCACUCUUAAGCUACUUUUGUAAUUUUGAGCUAUUCCAGAAUUGGAGGUGGACCUUGUAUAAAUCAAAAGAGUGGUGGAGAUAACUGUAUUACAGGUUUUUGCCAACAAAGAGAGCAGUCUGUCUUUCUACACAAGCUGAAAGAACAGUUGAAAGACUACAUUUAUAACCCUCCAGAUUUAAAAACAGUUAACCCCAGAGUUCCACAGUAUCUUUUAUCUGAAACCUUUAAAUAAUAUUCUGUAAGCUACUGAUUUAUGAAUUAACUGAUCUGUAUCACAUGAAGGACUGGAGAUGUUUAAAAAUAAACCUGUCCUCUGCUGGAAUGGAA